GACGAACGCUGGCGGCGUGCUUAACACAUGCAAGUCGAACGGAAAGGCCCUGCUUUUGUGGGGUGCUCGAGUGGCGAACGGGUGAGUAACACGUGAGUAACCUGCCCUUGACUUUGGGAUAACUUCAGGAAACUGGGGCUAAUACCGGAUAGGAGCUCCUGCUGCAUGGUGGGGGUUGGAAAGUUUCGGCGGUUGGGGAUGGACUCGCGGCUUAUCAGCUUGUUGGUGGGGUGGUGGCUUACCAAGGCUUUGACGGGUAGCCGGCCUGAGAGGGUGACCGGCCACAUUGGGACUGAGAUACGGCCCAGACUCCUACGGGAGGCAGCAGUGGGGAAUAUUGCACAAUGGGCGGAAGCCUGAUGCAGCAACGCCGCGUGCGGGAUGACGGCCUUCGGGUUGUAAACCGCUUUCGCCUGUGACGAAGCGUGAGUGACGGUAAUGGGUAAAGAAGCACCGGCUAACUACGUGC
rnacentral:rRNA from 1 species